rnacentral:rRNA from 1 species
AUUGUACGCUGGCGGCAUGCCUUACACAUGCAAGUCGAACGGCAGCACGGGGCAACCUGGUGGCGAGUGGCGAACGGGUGAGUAAUGCAUCGGAACGUACCUUUCAGUGGGGGAUAACGUAGCGAAAGUUACGCUAAUACCGCAUAUUCUGUGAGCAGGAAAGCAGGGGAUCGCAAGACCUUGCGCUGAUCGAGCGGCCGAUGUCAGAUUAGCUAGUUGGUGAGGUAAAGGCUCACCAAGGCGACGCUCUGUAGCGGGUCUGAGAGGAUGAUCCGCCACACUGGAACUGAGACACGGUCCAGACUCCUACGGGAGGCAGCAGUGGGGAAUUUUGGACAAUGGGGGCAACCCUGAUCCAGCCAUGCCGCGUGAGUGAAGAAGGCCUUCGGGUUGUAAAGCUCUUUCGGCCGGGAAGAAAUCGCACGGGCUAAUACCCUGUGUGGAUGACGGUACCGGAAUAAGAAGCACCGGCUAACUACGUGCCAGCCGCCGCCGUAACAC